UAAUCCGGUUAUCAUAGCUAG
ensembl:piRNA 21ur-5054 ncRNA